GUUAAUUUUUCAUCCUCUUCCUCCGCCUGUCGCUUCGUUGUUCUACUGCGGCGACCGCUGAAUUGAAAAAGAUCAUCCUUCUCGGCCUUUUUUCCUCUCUCUGUCCCCCCUUUUUUUGCGCUUUUUUUCGUGCCACGUGAUGCCCGAAAGAAUGCCCCCAAGAAGUACCCGACACGUACGUAUCAUUCGAAACAUACUGCGCUGGUUAAGAGAAACAGACAUAAAUCCAUUUCAAGCGACAGUACAUGAAACACGUUGCGCUGGGGGUUAAAGGAGACGGUGCCUUUGAUCCCGAUCGUCGUGGGUCUCCCCCAUCCAUCUGUUUCCUUUUCGGAAUGAUGAAAUCAUCCCGUCUCAAGUUUCGUCGCUUAACUUUCAUCAUUCGCCCGUGUUUAUUUUGCGUGUGUUUAUUUGUUUCGUCUUGGCCUGUGCAUUUAUCUACCAUUACGUCGGAGUCUCUUAUAUAAUCCGACAUUUUCACGCCACGCACAGUCAGCCAUCUUUAAGGGAUCUUCCUGCCUCCGCCAAGACUCUCCACAACUGACAGGGGAGUGACAAGCGAGUCAGAAGGGGUCUGCAUGUAUACUAGAACAACCACAGAGUUUGCUAGCAGGCACGGGUCAACGUGGGGGUCAAAAAGUGUCAACGUCUGUCACUCGCUUGACACUCAUCGUUGGCCUUUCUCUUCCGAUCGCUCUUCUCCAUCGUCAAACACGACCCAUGUAGCCCAAAGGAAGGAAAAGGAGAAUGGGAAUGGGUCGGCUGGAUUGGGGGCUGUUCGGAAUAGGUGGACUCGAAAGAAUUGCAUCGGUGCCUGCUGCUACAAGUCCACAAAGAGGCAAUGGGAAAAGAAAAAAAGAUGCACAUUUCACAGCUUGCUAUCAACAAACGAGUCAGCAGGAAGAAAGGUAAAAAAAUGAAAGAAAACCUAGAAAAGUAGAAUUUACUAGCUGCCAUUACCUACCCUACCAAACAGUUGGUUGGUUCCCCAUUUCCAUCCUACCCCAACACGCAGGGACACUCUUUCUCGCUCUGCUGGAACACAUACAUAUUUAUGGCGAUCCUGUUUACCGCUCCAAAUCGCAUAGCAAGUUGCAUCACUUUGAAAUUGGCUAGCUCUUCUACCGUUCCUUUUGGGUCUUUAUUUUGUUUCUUCUUCUCUUAUCGUUGUUCUCUUCUUUCUCAUAUCGACGGUAACGACAGGCCCUACUUGCCCCGUCAAGCAACCCGCAUUCACCUCCCCUUCGCCCCCCUACUUUUUUUUUUAUUCCAUCCUCUUAUUAUGUAUAGCACCUCGAUCUCGAGUGCGCCGACCCAUUCGGAGUCCUUUUCUCGUUUCUCGUUCCUAUACCAGCGUUCCUGCUGACAACAGCAAUUUGCACAUCAAAGUAGGUCGAUAACUCAAUUCCUCGACCGCAAUCAAUACGGCGGAGCUCCAAACGAGUAGCACGGCGUCAGUCAAUCUAAGUCUCUUUCUUUCGGUCGGCUGCCCUGUCAGCCUCUUGUCAUUGGAACACGUUAUCCCUUUCAUCGUGUGUAUGGCAUCGACCCGACUUAAUACCUCUUUAUACUGUGUCCACGUACUAUAUGUACUUGACUGUAUGCCACAAUUCGAGCAACAUUUUCAUGCCUCUAUUUUUCUGGCAUUGUAUUUUAUUUUUUUUCAUAUUUUAAACUCAUAUCGAUACGUCAGUCAUCCAUUCGGAGCGUUCGGUAGAAUGUGCGACCAAAUAGCAAAUAAACGUAGGGGACGAGAGAAAGAGAGAAAAAGACCAGUAGCUGUACACACAUUUGCUCACGUACGCAUGAGAGAGAAAGAGUAGCACAAGAAAUUGGGAAUCAGGGAGAAGCAGAAAGUCAAACACAUCGUUGAUAGUCAUAACUUGGAGGCCGCAGAGGGCAUAUCACAUGUGUAUCUCUUUCUCUUUCCAAACUCACAAAUAGGAAAAGCGGCUUCGAGAUCAAAGAAACCAUUGCAGCAUUCGUCGUUGUCGUCAAAGAAAAUCACAUCGUCCUAAAUCAGACGCUAGCAUCUAUUGAAGUCGCGCCAAUAGCGGAAAAUGCGAAAAAGCGGUACAUAUAUAGAGAAACGACUUGUGUUAAGAGACUCCGUUUUGCCAGUGAUCAAUACUCCCGUCUCAUAUAAAGCGCCGAAUCGGAUCCCUAUCAAACUGCGGCCGCCGAUGUCAACUGGCCUCUCCUCCGCCACCGUCCCUCCGCUCACCAACAAGCCAGUUUGUACGUCACAUCCGGUAAAAUUAGUGCGGCCUAGGCUUUUACGAAUUAUUGCGAGAAAGACGGCCCGUUUGACCACAUCGGAAAAAAGGGGAAUUUCCACAUAGACACCAAGUCAUUCUUCAUGUUGUACAUGUCCCCCCUUCAAC